CGGGAAGAGCUCAAAUUUGAAAGCUGGCAGCAAUGUCCGCGUUGUAAUCUCGAGACGUGUUUUCCGUGCUGGACCGUGGACAAGUUUCCUGGAAUGGAAUGUCAUAGAGGGUGAAAACCCCGUACUUGCCGCGGACGCCCAGUGCUUUGUGAUGCGCGUUCGAA
rnacentral:rRNA from 1 species